GUAAAUGUAAGAAAGGAUUCAUUUCGCAACACCUACGGCUUCCACUAGAUGUCAACGAUCUUUAUAAAGUUGUUUGAAGCGUCUAUGAUAAACAGAGAGCAAAUUAGAAUCCAAGGAAGUUGACAUGUCAUCACUUCAUUUUUUUGCGCCUGCGCAUAAAUCUGAGAAACGUGAGUUUUGUCUUCAUUGUUUAUCUCGACAUAGGAUAGGUUGUGUGAAAAUAUUACUGAUGUUUAACGUUAAAAAUGGACCAAAAGAUUAAUGCUAAACAACAUUUGACAUGUUUGAACGAACAUAAAUAGAUUAUUUACUAGGUUUUUUUAGCUUUUCGGGCGUGAUUUUACAGUCCCCCACCAUGUUUUGUGGGAGCAUAAUGAACGCUAAGUACUUGGUGUUAUUUGGACAUAAAUUAUGAACUUUGUCAAAAGAAACCACAUUUGUUCCGGACCUGGGAUGCCUUCCGGACCUGGGAUGCCUGUCUUCUGAUGGAGAUAAUCAAAGCAGGAGGCGUCUCAGGACUUGGCAGACGGGCAGGAUUUGUUCCGGAAGGGUCUUGGAGAAGAUUAGGAUGUCAUCGAGAUCGGAUGUCCUAGCUGUGUCUGAAUCUUGGCUUAGGAAGUCCACCAAAAACUCUGAAAUCUUCAUCCCUAACUACAACGUUUUCAGACAAGAUAGAACGACCAAAG
rnacentral:lncRNA from 1 species